GACGAACGCUGGCGGCGUGCUUAACACAUGCAAGUCGUACGGUAAGGCCCUUUCGGGGGUACACGUGUGGCGAACGGGAGUGUAACACGUGCGUAAGCUGCACACAACUGUGGGAUACCCCUAGGAAACUGGUGCUAAUACUGGACAUGUGCUAAUGCUGCAUGGGGGGGGUUGGAAAGAUCCCGCGGUUGGGGAAGGACUCGCGGCAUAUCAGCUUGUUGGUGGGGUAGUGGUCUACGAAGGCGGCGCCGGGUAGCCGGCCUGAGAGGGUGAGCGGCCACAGUGGGACUGGGACUCGGCCCCGACUCCUACUGGUGGCAGCAGCGGCGAAUGGUGCUCUAGGAGCGCAAGCCUGAUGCAGCAACGCCGCCGGCGGGAUGACGGCCUUCUGGUUGUGAAUCGCUUUCAGCAGGGACGAAGCUUUUUGUGACGGUACCUGCAGAAGAAGCACCGGCUAACUACGUG
rnacentral:rRNA from 1 species